CUUCACCGAACCCAACCACAACGGCCGCUCUGCGGGCCGGUCCUUGCCAUAGGUGGCCAGCAGCGCCUGCGCCUC
rnacentral:antisense_RNA from 1 species